GUGAUACUCGCUUCAGCAGCACAUAUACUAAAAUUGGAACAAUACAGAGAAGAUCCGCAUGGCCCCUGUGCAAGGAUGACACGCAAAUUCGUGAAGUGUUCCAUAUUUAA
rnacentral:snRNA from 1 species